GGAUCCCAUCAGAACUUCGCAGAUAAGCGUGCUUGGGCGAGAGUAGUACUAGGAUAGGUGACCUCUUGGGAAGUCCUCGUGUUGCACAU
rnacentral:rRNA from 1 species